CCUUUAUAUGAAUCUCAAAUAUAUAUAAUCUACCACAAAUGUUGGACAAGAUAAGUUGUAUAUAAUCUCUUUUUUACUGCCAAAAACAUCAAGAGCUCAAAAUGGUUGUAUAAUUCUUCAUCCCCUUUUUGAUUAAUGGUUGUAUAAAUUGGGGGGAUUGAGCAGCAUUGCGGCUUGGGCUGCCGUUUUUGCCGAGUUUUCUAGCGUAGACGGGCUCCGUCGACGACAUGAUUCGAGGAGUGAACUAUGCUUCUGCUGGUGCUGGGAUAAUCCUUUCCAGUGGCUCUGAAUUGGGGCAACAUAUAUCUCUCACUCAGCGGAUCCAGCAGAUGAUGGACACAUUUCAGCAAUUCAUUAUCACCAUAAGAGAGGUUGCAGCAAAAUAUCUUAUUUCGAACUCCAUGUUCUACAUUUCAAUUAGGAGCAAUGACUACAUACACUACUAUCUCCUAAAUGAGUCCAAAGUGCAAUCCAUGUACCUGCCUUGGAGUUUCAAUUAAUUUUGAAACUAAGCUAAUUGACAAGGUAAGUGAUUUGGAGAAAUUAUUUAUGCAACACAUUUUCUUUAUAGAAGUGAAAAAUAACACUACAAUUAAUCUUCUAAUUAUAUUUUUCCAAUGGGUUUCUCUGUGAGUGAUGAUUUUGAGAUGAAGUUGGUGAUGAUUUUGAGAUGAAGUUGAUUGAUAUGAAGGUAAUAAAUAUAGAUCAUCUUAAAUUCUAUCACUUGCAUUUCUAGAGAACGUUAUUUUGAAAGGAUAUCUGAGUACAACGAUGAGCUCAAGUAUAGUUCAUAGGCAAAGAGAAGUUGAGAUAGUAAUAUCCACAAUUUAGUGGAUAAGCGCCCAAAGAAGUUAGAUAGAGGCCUAUGCAGAUACAAGACUCAAUUUUUUUACUUAUUUCAUCAUCAGCAAUUCAUCUGUUUUUUUCGUGUAAAUUGGUGUGUGAACACCAAAAAUUCAAGAACAUCAACCCAUCAACAUUUUCCUGGCAUAAUCAUUAACAUAUAUCAAGUAUUGUGAGAUACCAAAAGCCAGGGCUCUAUACAUCUGAUAUUAGUAAAAUAAGUAUCUCAUAUAUUUUUUUUCAGUUUACGCAUAAUCUGUGGGUAUCUAGAUUGAGCUUUUUCUUCUUUUUUACUUUUCGGUGGUUAAUUUUAAUAAUAAUUUGUUUCAUUGUUGGAAAUUAUUAGAUGGGGGAAGGAGUCGGGUUUUUUCUUUAACAUGAGAUACUUUGAGGAUGCAGUGACUAAUGGAGAAUGAGAUGAAGUGGAUAAGUAUUUGUCAGGUUUUACGAAGGUUGAUGACAACCAUUUUGUUCUGAAUUACUUUCUUCAAGAGUUGGUGUUUUCUAUUGAUAUUUCAGAAAAAGGAAAGGUAAAAACUUGUGGGCAUCUCAAUAUACGGUGCAGAUCACUGCCUCAAGGUACCGCUUUCCCUUUGCUUUUUCGAUUAAUUAGACGGAAUCGGCUACAUUUCUCUGUUUGGGUUUCGUUAUUGAAAAAUUGAAAUCUACACAUAUUAUUAGGGUUAUUUUCUCCCUUUCCACUUUGCGUCGAUUCAAAUUCCAGAUUUUUAUUAAUGAAGACGCCCAUGUUUGUUGUUUUUCAUUGUUUCUAUAAUAAUGCGAAGGAAGCAAGUGUGGGUUGAGUAUGAGAGGUUUUUGUUUAAUGGAAUUAUUGCUGCUAGAGCUUCAGCUUCAAUUGUUGCUGCAGAGCCCACAAACUCAAAGGCAAACAUUUAUUUUUUCUUUUUCUUUUUCUUUUGGAUGGUUAAUGAUAAUGCUGUGAUUUUGGCAAUUGAUCUUUUUAUUUUUAAUUUUAUUUUUUAAUGGUAGAAGGAUGAUAGAUUGCUUUCUCUGAUUUAGUUUUGGAGGAAUUGCCAUUUAAACCAAAGGGAUAUAAUUAUUGGAUGUAGCAAGAUAAGAAAAUACAUUAUGUAAUGGAAGGAGAGGGGCUGCCCAUUAUUCUUAUUCAUGGGUUAGGGGCUUCUGCAUUUCAUUGGAGGAUGUCUUUGUUGGCAUGAAGUUCAUGCAGAUUGGAGGAUGGACCUUGGCUAGAGCAAGAAUGGAGGAAGGAAGAAUCCACAAUCCAUCCCCACAAAUUAGAUAUUACUGUAUUCCCUUCACCAUAUAUCAUAUUUGUUGUUUUUUCAUGUGUUUUGCUAGGAAUGUUAGUUUUAAAAUUUUAUUAAAUUUUAUUGAUUUGGUGUUUUGUAGUAUUGAUGUAUUGCAAAUAUAGUUGUAUGAAAGUCUAUAACAGGUUGUCGAUAACAAGAUAUUUUGAAAUAAAAAAAAUAUUUUUCUGGCUCCAUAAA